UACGUAGGGGGCGAGCGUUGUCCGGAAUCAUUGGGCGUAAAGAGCGUGUAGGCGGCCCGGUAAGUCCGCUGUGAAAGUCGGGGGCUCAACCCUCGAAUGCCGGUGGAUACUGUCGGGCUAGAGUGCGGAAGAGGCGAGUGGAAUUCCUGGUGUAGCGGUGAAAUGCGCAGAUAUCAGGAGGAACACCUAUUGCGAAGGCAGCUCGCUGGGACGUAACUGACGCUGAGACGCGAAAGCGUGGGGAGCAAACAGG
rnacentral:rRNA from 1 species